rnacentral:rRNA from 1 species
UACGUAGGGGGCAAGUGUUAUCCGGAUUUACUGGGUGUAAAGGGAGCGUAGACGGCGACGCAAGUCUGAAGUGAAAUACCCGGGCUCAACCUGGGAACUGCUUUGGAAACUGUGUUGCUGGAGUGCUGGAGAGGUAAGCGGAAUUCCUAGUGUAGCGGUGAAAUGCGUAGAUAUUAGGAAGAACACCAGUGGCGAAGGCGGCUUACUGGACAGUAACUGACGUUGAGGCUCGUAAGCGUGGGGAGCAAACAGG